rnacentral:SRP_RNA from 1 species
GCCUGGGCAUGUUGCUGUAUACCUGUAAUCACAUUUGCUGGAGAGGCUGAGGCUGGUGGUCCUCUUGAGCUUGGUAGUUCUGAACUGCACUGAGCUAUGAUGAUUGUGUGUCCACACUACAUUUAGCAUCAACACGAUGAGCACCUGGGAGUGGGGGACCCUUAGAUUGCCUAAGGAGGAAUAAACCAAUCCAGGGUGGAAUUGGAGCAGAUCAAAGUUUUUGUGCCAGUCAGUAGUGGGAUAAAACCCAUCCAGCCUGGAUGAGAUGGGGAGAUCUAAGCUUU